UACUAGAGUAGCACUAGCAUAUCAAUAAGCGGAGGAAAAGAAACUAACAAGGAUUCCCCUAGUAACGGCGAGUGAAGCGGGAAGAGCUCAAAUUUGAAAUCUUAAAGGGUUUCCCUUUACGAAUUGUAGUUUAAAGAAGUGUUUUCUGUUGAGGUUUUGGUAAAAGUUCUUUGGAAUAGGACAUCAUAGAGGGCGAGAAUCCCGUAUUUGACCUUUACUUUCAACUUUGUGAUACACUUUCAAAGAGUCGGAUUGUUUGGGAAUGCAGUCCAAAAUGGGUGGUAAAUUUCAUCUAAAGCUAAAUAUUGGCGAGAGACCGAUAGCGAACAAGUACCGUGAGGGAAAGAUGAAAAGAACUUUGAAAAGAGAGUUAAACAGUACGUGAAAUUGUCAAAAGGGAAGCGUUUGACACCAGUGUUGUUUUUCUGAAAAUCAAUUAAAGAACUGUUUAUGCUAAGUUGUUUAGACUUUAUCAGCUAAUCUGCUUAGUUUUGAGCUUUUCUUUAAUGCACUUUUCAGUUAACAAGUCAACAUCAAUUUCUCUUGCUGUAAAAAAGCUUGAGGAAGGUGGCUUGAGAUUCGUCUUAAGUGUUUAUAGCCUCUUGCCUAUGCAGUCGGAGAGAUUGAGGUCUGCAGCGUAGAUCCUUCGGGGCUAAAUGCAUUUGUGCUAAGUUAUAGCAUUUUAUAGACGACUUGUUGACUAUGAUUUGUCUUGUAGCUUACUCGCUUAUGUUAUUUUACCUACGCUUAGGAUGUUGAACUCUAUCACACACAG
rnacentral:rRNA from 1 species